rnacentral:lncRNA from 1 species
AUGUUCUCAGGAGUUGCAGAGCAACUGUAACUAAAGAAGCAAAAGAAGCCGGUGACAAUGGCAGAGGCACCACCAGAAGAUAAAAUAUUCUUGGGGCAGAAGAACAUCAAACAAGACGUUGUGGACUGGAAACGUCUAUUAUUCCCAAACUUUGGAUUCAUGUAAGACUUUGAAACACUCAUGUCAAGCUGCAGACACCAGGGGGCAGAAGAGACUUCAUUUCUAGCAGGGCUUGCUGAUGCAGAUGCAGUGAGGUCUGCACAUUUGCUUCCAACGCUGUGCUUACAGCUUUUCCACAGUUAUGUAACUAGUUGGAAACUCAUACAAGCAGAUGACCAUCAAUCAAACACAAGUUCAGAAAUGACAGAAAUACCAUUCCAACCACUUCCAAAGCUGAAGCCAAAUGCAGAUGUUUCUGGGUCUGGCAGCCUAAAGUCAGGUGGAGGCGAUUAUUCCCACAAAGAGAUCACAGAGGAGGACGCUGCGGCUUCAGCCCCUCCUCUACUCUGUGGUUGCAUCUCAAGCCCUUAUUUGUUUAAACGGACGGCCCUGGAAAACUACACAGUUGAUGGAGUGGCAGAGUCUCCCCGAUCUGAAGACAUGACAAUCAAUGGCAAGCAUGUUUUCACAGAGAGGUGGUGCUCACUUACAACUGUGGGAAGCCUAAGAGAAUCUUUUACAGAGAAGCUCCUGGCUUAGAACACUUGCUGCUGUUCAUGUGACAUCACUGUGAUGUUAGCCUGUGUCAUAGCACUCUGCCUCCCGGACUGGAGCUCAACAAUUGUAGAGUUAUGUUGUGAAU